rnacentral:lncRNA from 1 species
AAUCACUUUUAAUGCGCGGGGUAUACGUUGCACCUUCUAAAAAAAAGGAUUUUAAAUUGUUUUCUUGUUUCUAGUGGUAGAUUGCGUUUCUAAGAGGUGAUAUAACCCUAUCAGCGCGUAUGUAGCAGUUUCAGCGCUCGACUGAUACCCUGUUACUUAUUCGUUCCUUAUUCGCGUAUAAUACGUGUGUUAUACGUUACACAUUUAAAAAAA